CAGCCGCCACGGUAAUACGAAGGGUGCAAGCGUUAAUCGGAAUUACUGGGCGUAAAGCGUGCGUAGGCGGUGAGUUAAGUCUGCUGUGAAAUCCCCGGGCUCAACCUGGGAAUGGCAGUGGAUACUGGCUCGCUAGAGUGUGUCAGAGGAUGGUGGAAUUCCCGGUGUAGCGGUGAAAUGCGUAGAGAUCGGGAGGAACAUCAGUAGCGAAGGCGGCCAUCUGGGACAACACUGACGCUGAGGCACGGAAGCGUGGGGAGCAAACAGGAUUAGAUACCCCGGUAGUCCCUGUCUCUUAUAC
rnacentral:rRNA from 1 species